rnacentral:rRNA from 1 species
UACGAAGGGGGCUAGCGUUGCUCGGAAUGACUGGGCGUAAAGGGCGCGUAGGCGGAUGGCACAGUCAGAUGUGAAAUUCCUGGGCUUAACCUGGGGGCUGCAUUUGAUACGUGUGAUCUAGAGUGAGGAAGAGGGUUGUGGAAUUCCCAGUGUAGAGGUGAAAUUCGUAGAUAUUCGUAAGAACACCAGUGGCGAAGGCGACUUUCUGGCUCGAUACUGACGCUAAGGCGCGAAAGCGUGGGGAGCAAACAGG